UACUCUGGGGUAAAUGGAAUACCGUUAGAACCCAAAUAUUCAAUUUCCUAAAUGGUGUUAUAAAAUUUAAAACGCUUUUUUAAAGUCUUAGGGAUAUGGGUAUAUAUUUCUGUAAAUACUGUAUUUGUUUACUAAUGAACGAAAAAAAGAAGGAAAGUGUGUCUCAUCGUACCCCACUCUAACAAACUGUCUGUUCUUAGCUCUAUGUAUAUACCAUGUGCAAUAGCUUUUACACCGCGACAUAGCAUUGGUCACAGCAUCCGAUAUCAAACUUUGUAACGCAUCUUGUGUGAGGGUUGUAGCUGCUACAGGUUGAUGUCUACUCAUAUUCUUGCUUUACACUGUGUUUAUUACAAUGCGUCCUCGUUGACUAGAUUGUCAAGUAAGGUUCAUUCUGUUUCAAGGCUCAAAAAUUGGACUCUGAAAUUUUAUUUGCCGACUCUUGUCUACAAGACAAAUCAUAUGUACGUUAAAUCAAAUCUAUUUGAGAAACCUUUCAACGCCAUUAUCUGCUGUGAAAUUUGCUAACUGUAUUUUUUGCUGUGAAAUAACUAACUGCGUUUACUACAGUUCAAGUUUUGAAACUGUAAGGAUGUUUUUGAUUAGAGCAUCAAACAUGAGUGUUUGGAUAUUGAUUGGUUAUGUUAGACACUUGUAUUUAUUAAGUGCCAUUAUACCACAUGGAAUUUAAUAUUAAGUUGUAUUUAUUUUAUUUUAAAUCAAGUUUAAAUGUAAAGUUAAAACAACAGAAACACCAGUACAGAAAAUAUGAUUGUACCAAAACAAUGGCAAAGUAUUUACGAAGGAAUAACAAGUUAUAUACAAAGCGGUUUAGUAAUUGCGCACAUAUAGGAAAUACACACGCAGUUCAGAU